rnacentral:rRNA from 1 species
AUUGAACGCUGGCGGCAGGCCUAACACAUGCAAGUCGAACGGUAACAGGAAGAAGCUUGCUUCUUUGCUGACGAGUGGCGGACGGGUGAGUAAUGUCUGGGAAACUGCCUGAUGGAGGGGGAUAACUACUGGAAACGGUAGCUAAUACCGCAUAACGUCGCAAGACCAAAGAGGGGGACCUUCGGGCCUCUUGCCAUCGGAUGUGCCCAGAUGGGAUUAGCUAGUAGGUGGGGUAACGGCUCACCUAGGCGACGAUCCCUAGCUGGUCUGAGAGGUUGAACGGCCACAUUGGGACUGAGACACGGCCCAG